UGGGCUUGACAUGUAACUGACAGCCGUGUUUCCACGGCUGUCAGUUACAUGUCAAGCCCAGGUAAGGUUCUUCGCGUUGCAUCGAAUUAAACCACAUGCUCCGCUGCUUGUGCGGGCCCCCGUCAAUUCCUUUGAGUUUUAGCCUUGCGGCCGUACUCCCCAGGCGGGGCAUUUAAUGCGUUAGCGCCGGCACGGGAGGAGUCGACACCUCCCACACCUAAUGCCCAUCGUUUACGGCGUGGACUAC
rnacentral:misc_RNA from 1 species